UGGAGCAUGUGGUUUAAUUCGAAGCAACGCGAAGAACCUUACCAGGUCUGACAUCCCGAUGCUAUUCUAGAGAUAGAAAGUUACUUCGGUACAUCGGUGACAGGUGGUGCAUGGUUGUCGUCAGCUCGUGUCGUGAGAUGUUGGGUUAAGUCCCGCAACGAGCGCAACCCCUAUUGUUAGUUGCCAUCAUUCAGUUGGGCACUCUAGCGAGACUGCCGGUAAUAAACCGGAGGAAGGUGGGGAUGACGUCAAAUCAUCAUGCCCCUUAUGACCUGGGCUACACACGUGCUACAAUGGUUGGUACAACGAGUUGCGAGUCGGUGACGGCGAGCUAAUCUCUUAAAGCCAAUCUCAGUUCGGAUUGUAGGCUGCAACUCGCCUACAUGAAGUCGGAAUCGCUAGUAAUCGCGGAUCAGCACGCCGCGGUGAAUACGUUCCCGGGCCUU
rnacentral:rRNA from 1 species